GGGGACUUGGCGCAGUGGUAGCGUAUAUCCAACUAAUCUCUCUUGCGACCUCCUCAAAGUAAGGCUUUAAGGAGGUGCGAGGGAGCGAGGGUAAGGUCCUAGGUUCGAAUCCUAGAGUCCCCA